rnacentral:rRNA from 1 species
GGAGUCUGGGCCGUGUCUCAGUCCCAAUGUGGCCAAUCAACCUCUCAGUUCGGCUACUGAUCGUAGACUUGGUAGGCCUUUACCCCACCAACUAUCUAAUCAGACGCGAGCUCAUCUUGCAACGAUAAAUCUUUGAUAUAUCUAACAUGCGUUAGUUAUAUUUUACGCGGUAUUAGCGACCAUUUCUUAGCCGUUAUCCCCCUCCUGCAAGGUAGAUUACUCACGUGUUACUCACCCGUCCGCCACUAAAUAAUAUGUCUAUCGUUCCGAAAAACUACAAAACAUACAUUCCGUUCGACUUGCAUGUGUUAGGCACGCCGCCAGCGUUCGUCCUCGAGCCACUGAUCAAACUACU